ACAUUAGUCACUGCUCAUAUUACACCACAGCAGACCUAUCACACAACCACCACAGGAACACACAUCACAACCUCUCUAGCACCAACACAGCCAACAGCGACACACGGACAAGAAAACCUCAGCACACACCUACACUGGGGGGAUCACCAUCGGACACGAUGCCACACACCACAUACGCACACCGGCCACAAGAGGGGGGACCAUAGAGCAUCACCGACUCAGGAUAACACAGGUGGGAUUAAACACAUUGGUGAGGUAAGGGGUCACAAGGCGAAAAUCCCAAACUGGUCAGAGAGGAUGAUUAGCCACACAGGAAAUGAAAACAAGAUCCCAAAAUCCUACGGGAGGCAGCAGUGGGGAAUAUUGCACAAUGGGCGCAAGCCUGAUGCAGCCAUGCCGCGUGUAUGCAGAAGGCCUUCGGGUUGUAAAGUACUUUCAGUCGUGAGGAAGGCGGCGUCGUUAAAAGCGGCGUUGUUUGACGUUAACGAAAGAAGAAGCACCGGCUAACUCCGUGCCAGCACCCGCGGUAAUACGGAGGGUGCGAGCGUUAAUCGGAAUUACUGGGCGUAAAGCGCAAGCAGGUGGUUUGUUAAGUCAGAUGUGAAAGCCCGGGGCUCAACCUCGGAAUAGCAUUUGAAACUGGCAGACUAGAGUACUGUAGAGGGGGGUAGAAUUUCAGGUGUAGCGGUGAAAUGCGUAGAGAUCUGAAGGAAUACCGGUGGCGAAGGCGGCCCCCUGGACAGAUACUGACACUCAGAUGCGAAAGCGUGGGGAGCAAACAGG
rnacentral:rRNA from 1 species